AUUUCCAAGGUGAUCCUUGGCCCACUCAAGCUCCCCUACACCCUUUCCCCAUCUUCCCCUGGUUGCCCCCGGUACCCCACGCUUCCCUGGUUACCCCUCGGCACC
rnacentral:lncRNA from 1 species